rfam:Anncaliia algerae PRA109 cont4.2431, whole genome shotgun sequence.
GCGUUAUUUGUCUAGUGGUAUGAUACAUCCCUGCCACGGAUGAGGCCCGGGUUCGAUUCCCGGAUGACGCA